AAUGGAGGAAACUCUGAUCCAGCAAUGCCGCGUGUGUGAUGAAGGCCCUAGGGUUGUAAAGCACUUUCAACGGUGAAGAUGAUGACGGUAGCCGUAGAAGAAGCCCCGGCUAACUUCGUGCCAGCAGCCGCGGUAAUACGAAGGGGGCGAGCGUUGUUCGGAAUUAUUGGGCGUAAAGGGCGCGCAGGCGGUUUGGAUAGUUAGACGUGAAAGCCCUGGGCUUAACCUAGGAACUGCGUUUAAUACUGCCAAACUAGAGAACUAGAGAGGAUAGCGGAACUCCCAGUGUAGAGGUGAAAUUCGUAGAUAUUGGGAAGAACAUCAGUGGCGAAAGCGGCUGUCUGGCUAGUUUCUGACGCUGAGGCGCGAAAGCGUGGGGAGCAAACAGGAUU
rnacentral:rRNA from 1 species